CGACUCUAAGCCGUACAUUCCAUCUCCUCAACACCCACUCGCUUCCUUCUGCUCUCACCUAUUACUUCGCCAGCCCACAUAUCUGCUAUAACCUGCCCUCCCCCACCCGCUUCCCACACAUCCGCCACCGCUACGAAGCCUCGAGCUCCCCCAGCGACCCUCUCGGCAACGCGAGCGCCCCAGUCCCCCCACGCACAACUUUGACCGAGCACAAUGAAGAUCCGCAGCGUGCGUCCGCUUGUGGUGUUGCUGAUAUGCGUCGCGGCGGUGCUCGCACUCAGCGCCUCCGCUGAGCCGCACAAGGCGGCCGUUGACGUCGGCCCGCUCUCUGUUGACGUUGGCCCGCUCUCCGUUGGCCCGCAGUCCGUCGGCCCGCUCUCUGUUGACGUUGGCCCGCAGGCUGUUGGCCCGCUCUCCGUUGACGUUGGCCCGCAGGCUGUUGGCCCGCUCUCCGUUGGUCCGCAGUCCGUUGGCCCGCUCUCUGUUGGCCCGCAGGCUGUUGGCCCGCUCUCCGUUGACGUUGGCCCGCAGGCUGUUGGCCCGCUCUCCGUUGGUCCGCAGUCCGUUGGCCCGCUCUCUGUUGGCCCGCAGGCUGUUGGCCCGCUCUCUGUUGACGUCGGCCCGCUCUCUGUUGACGUUGGCCCGCUCUCCGUUGGCCCGCAGUCCGUCGGCCCGCUCUCUGUUGACGUUGGCCCGCAGGCUGUUGGCCCGCUCUCCGUUGACGUUGGCCCGCAGGCUGUUGGCCCGCUCUCCGUUGGCCCGCAGUCCGUCGGCCCGCUCUCUGUUGACGUUGGCCCGCAGUCUGUUGGCCCGCUCUCUGUUGGCCCGCAGUCCGUUGGCCCGCAGUCCGUUGGCCCGCAGUCUGUUGGCCCGCUCUCUGUUGGCCCGCAGUCCGUCGGCCCGCUCUCCGUUGGCCCGCAGUCCGUCGGCCCGCUCUCUGUUGGUCCGCAGGCUGUUGGCCCGCUCUCCGUUGGCCCGCAGUCCGUUGGCCCGCUCUCCGUUGGCCCGCAGUCCGUUGGCCCGCUUUCUGUUGGCCCGCAGUCCGUUGGCCCGCUCUCCGUUGGCCCGCAGUCCGUUGGCCCGCUCUCUGUUGGUCCGCAGUCCGUCGGCCCGCUCUCUGUUGGUCCGCAGGCUGUUGGCCCGCUCUCCGUUGGCCCGCUCUCCGUUGGUCCGCAGUCCGUUGGUCCGCAGUCUGUCGGCCCGCUCUCCGUUGGCCCGCAGGCUGUUGGCCCGCUCUCCGUUGGUCCGCAGUCCGUUGGCCCGCUCUCCGUUGGCCCGCAGUCCGUCGGCCCGCUCUCCGUUGGUCCGCAGUCCGUUGGCCCGCUCUCCGUUGGUCCGCAGUCCGUCGGCCCGCUCUCCGUUGGCCCGCAGUCCGUUGGCCCGCUCUCCGUUGGCCCGCAGUCCGUUGGCCCGCUUUCCGUUGGUCCGCAGUCUGUCGGCCCGCUCUCCGUUGGUCCGCAGUCCGUUGGCCCGCUCUCCGUUGGCCCGCAGUCCGUCGGCCCGCUCUCCGUUGGCCCGCAGUCUGUCGGCCCGCUCUCUGUUGGCCCGCAGGCUGUUGGCCCGCUCUCCGUUGGUCCGCAGUCCGUCGGUCCGCUAUCUGUUGGCCCGCAGUCCGUUGGCCCGCUCUCCGUUGGCCCGCAGUCCGUCGCCCCGCUCUCUGUUGGUCCGCAGUCCGUUGGCCCGCUCUCUGUUGGUCCGCAGGCUGUUGGCCCGCUCUCCGUUGGCCCGCAGUCCGUCGCCCCGCUCUCUGUUGGUCCGCAGUCCGUUGGCCCGCUCUCCGUUGGCCCGCAGUCCGUCGGCCCGCUCUCCGUUGGUCCGCAGGCUGUUGGCCCGCUCUCCGUUGGUCCGCAGUCCGUUGGCCCGCUCUCCGUUGGCCCGCAGUCCGUUGACGUUUCUCCGGUGUCUUAAGGCUCGGCGUCCGCUUUCCGGUGUGCGUAAAAGUAUAUGCCAUGAGGCAUGGUGACGAGGCAAACCUUGCCAGCAAUGUGGCAUUAUCGUACGCGUGCAAGAGCAACAGCAGAGCUGAGUGUUCAGGUGGCCACAGCACCACGCUCCUGCGACACUCCGUGGGGUAUGUGUGACCUUGGCUGCUGUUGCCAGGCGGAUGAACUGCGAGGGCCACAGCAGCGCAAGUGCCGCUUCCAACCUUGCGACUUUCACGCCACAGACGCAUAGCAGCGCCCUGCCUGUCGCGGCGCAUGCGGGCAAGCCAUCUAGAUGCGCCUCUCCACGACAUGGCCGGAGGCGGCAGAUGAAGGCAGCGACCCCUUUUCCCCGGCCACGACGCCGCGCUGAGGCGGGCCCCACAGCGCAGAACUGCGAGCGCGGUGCGCGGGCGCUGUGACGCACAGCCGGCACGCAGCGUACCGCACGCAGACAGUGCAUGGGGAGGCCGGAGGAGCAAGAGCGGUGGACGGGAACGGCGCGAAGCAUGCGGCACGCCCUCGAUGUGCCUGUGUGGGCUGAUGAGGCGCGGAUGCCGGAAGCGUGGCGAGGGCAUCCCGAGUUGCACCGUCGAGCCUUCCAGGCCCGAAUGUGGCGAGCCUGCGGGGAGCAGAUUAUGGGAUGCGGCUGCUCGAAGCGACCGAGGGCGCUGACCGGAAGGUGGCCGACUUCCUCCUCGGGCCUGUGCGGCAUGCGCCCUCGAUCGGGAGCCCGAAUGGUGGCCGCGCGGGUGAAGGCGUGCCGCCCACCCGCGUCUCCGUGUGGCGCCGAUGGCGCAGCGCGCACCCGGGGAAGGGGCGAGGAAGGCCAUGAGGAGGCCGCUGCGCGCGUGGCCCGAUUCGACGGCAGGCGGCUCGUCCGAGACGGCCGGGACGAAGCCGUGGCGCCGCUGGGGGCAGGUGCGCUGUGGCUGUGUAUGUGCGCUGAUGUGCUGACUUGUUCGUGGUGGGCUAUAGGCACGGUGAGGGGCGACGUUGGCCCUUGCUGACUUCCUCUGCUUUCUUAUUAUUCUCAGUGCCCCCGCUGGAUUGGGCUGCAUCGGCGGUCUGUAUCGCGCUUGUCUCUCUCAUUUGACGGCUGCGCCCUCCCGCCCCUCCCACUCGUGCUGUGGGAUGGAGGCACGGCCGGGCUCUGUGUUGUGUGCACCGCGUGCAAGAAUUCAGAUGAGGGACUGCCGAGCGAGCAGACAAAGCAGCAGCAGCAACAGGAAGGCAGGCCUGAGCACGUUUUCUUUUCUCUCUUGAGACUGCGGACUACGGGAAUCAGAGACGUCGUCAGAGACGCGCAUCCGCACCCGCGCGCUAUGCUUCCUCGUUCUCUCUCCCGCCCCAUUCUGUGCGCCUGCCUGUCUGCGUGUCGCGAGCGCCGUUGCCGGCGGUCUCUCUCCCCUCCCUUCGCUUCUCUCUUGCAAGCGCUUCCUUUUUCACAGCCGAACGUUGCUGCUCGCCUGGAGGCCGUUCCCCCUCUUAUCAUCUCUGCAUUUAUUUUUACACGUGCUUUUGCUUUGGCUUCCUGACGAUGCCGGCCACCUCACCGCGGUGUCAGGGCCCAGCGCCCACUCUUUGUGGGCAGGCCAAGUAGCCUGCAGCCUGCCCAUGAGCACGGCUGUGGACUCUUGGUGCCAGCGGACAGGUGUGGGCUGGCGCUGUGCCGGUGACACCAACGGUCAUGAUGACGCUUGGACCAGCUCACUGCGGAUCAUGCCGACGAUUCAACGAAUGCGCGCAUCCACCUACUGCCUUUCUGCCUUUGCUGCGCUGCGGUGGUGCUGAGCGUGGUCCCGGGGCCUAGCCUGCGCUGUACGCAGCGGCAUUGCGGUGGGCUGAGCGGCGCCAGGCGGUGCUGGCCGGCCCUGCUGCUUGGCAUAGCCGUGGCGUGCAGCAGAUGCGGAUGGGCUGUGGCUGCGCAUGCGUGUGUGCGUUGACUUGUUCGUGGUGGGCGGGCACGUAAACGGCAAAAUGCGCUUUGGCGUUCCGGCGCCAGCCUCCGGCGCUGGUGCGGUAUUCGAAUACGCGCCUGAAGAGGUGGCGAGGAAAAUGGCACGAGGCGCAGAGGGAAAAAACGAAAAGUGCAAAGUGCGCAAACCGCGCAGAAAAUGCGGAGGAGGACUGAGACUGCUGACAUGCGUGAGCGCUGCAUUGCGGCGGGGGGCUGGAGCGGAGUGCAACGCCGUACACUCACACAGAUACACGCGCCAGUGUGCCUCGCAGGCUCCCCCUGCUCGUCACCGGCGUGCGCUGCUCUUUCCGUCUCCGUGGCACAAGAGAGACGCCGAGCGUGG
rnacentral:misc_RNA from 1 species